UCGGGAAUUUUGGGCAAUGGGCGAAAGCCUGACCCAGCAACGCCGCGUGAAGGAUGAAGUAUUUCGGUAUGUAAACUUCGUAAGAAUAGGAAGAAUAAAUGACGGUACUAUUUGUAAGGUCCGGCUAACUACGUGCCAGCAGCCGCGGUAAUACGUAGGGACCAAGCGUUGUUCGGAUUUACUGGGCGUAAAGGGCGCGUAGGCGGUGUGUCAAGUCAGUUGUGAAAUCUCCGAGCUUAACUCGGAACGGUCAACUGAUACUGUCACACUAGAGUACAGAAGGGGCAAUCGGAAUUCUUGGUGUAGCGGUGAAAUGCGUAGAUAUCAAGAGGAACACCUGAGGUGAAGACGGGUUGCUGGGCUGAUACUGACGCUGAGGCGCGAAAGCUAGGGUAGCAAACGGGAUUAGAUACCCGCGUAGUCCCUGAGCGGGCUGGCAAGGCGCAU
rnacentral:rRNA from 1 species